UAUAUAUAUAUAUAUAUAUAUAUAUUAAGUUGUAUUACCUCAAUUUAAGUCUAAGUCUAUGUUGGAAUCUGUUAAGAUUUCCAUUGUGGUAAGCUUGAGUGCAGAAGAGUUGGAUGAGACAGUAAAUUUAUGUUUAAUAAUAUUGUUUUUGUAGAUGUAUAUGUUACGCACUACAUAAUACAAGCUCUGCGCCAAAACUUUAAUGGUAUAUUUCUUUCUUUUACAAGGCUUCAUCUGUUUAGUUGAUUUCAAUUUGAUUACAAUUGUACUGAGUUUCUUUUCAAUUAUAUUUUGUCUAAAAAAUGUCUUUAGAAGUCUUUGGUUGCAAAAAUUUUCUUUUUUCUUCUGAACUAGGACUAUAUAAUUUUGUUUAGUGUUAAUAAAUACAUAUUUUUUUUCUCUAUUUUCAUUAUGCUAUUUUUUUGUGACAAUA